CGACGAAGAGGAAGCGUGGGAAUCCGGCGGCAAUGGCUGGGAUGUAAGUCCAACAUUGCUGGUGCCAGAGUAGCCACUGCUUGCUUAUAAGGGAAUCAUGUGUGUUGCCUUUUUGCCUUUUCCGACGUCCUCCUCCGACUGUACUCCCGAUCCCAGGACUGAACUUACGGGAAGGAGUGCUUGCAAGAUGGGAAACGAAGAAGAAGAAGCCGCUGAAUCCGGCGGCAAUGGCUGGGAUGCUGCGUUCUGGAGAAGAAGCGUUAUUUCUGCAUUCCAAGAAGGACGGCACAAUGUGUCGGACUGUCCGCGUCGCAUUGAACUGGUCCGAUGAGGCUGCUAUUGCACACACAGUGAGGGAACUCCCAUACGGGAACUCGGAAGUACUGCUACAGUACAGGUAUAUCACCCCGUGACGACCACAUCGAAGUCUGAAAUUGAAGUGUGAAGAUGCUUCAGCAACCCCUUCAUAUUUUUCCAUUGCUUUUAUUGUGCUUCUACUGUGCAUGUGUGUAACCUGUGGGGUAUGCAUGUGAUGACAAUGUAUGCCGAUGACACGGUCAGAUUUUGUCCAUGCGUGUAACGUACACCUGCAUGCUAUCGUUGAAAAGGAUCUGCCACUUACGAUCUUCGGACGAGUCUGGUGUAUGGUGGCCACUUCUUUGCUCGUCUUUGUAUGACAUUACAAUAAUUCUGUAUUCACUGCUUCCAUGGUGUGGUCUGCAAACUGCAAUCCUUAGGCAAAUAUCAUCACGGUUUGCAAUGUUGUGCUUUGGCUGCUAGCUUACCUACACAUUGUAGUUGAAUUAUUUUUGUUUCACAACUGACUUCCUGAAGUAUGGUGGCCACUGCUUUGCAUGGCAUUAUACAAUGUUCA